UAUAAAUUUAGUAAGAAUAAAGUAAUUGUUUUAUGUUGUAGGUUUUAAAAAAUUAGUAGUUUAGGGUACUGUGAAGGAAUAAUUAAAAAGUUUUUGGUUUAGUUUUCUUUUACCUUUUGUAUCAUGGUUUAAUAAUUCUUGUUUUCAUUUGGAAAAUUUACCCGAAUUAUUAUGAGUUAACAAUUUCUUUUUUUAGAAAUUUAUUUUUGGAUCUUUCCAUUAGAGAAGUUUUUGUUAGUGGUUAAAUGCUAGUCGUAUAGUAAUAUAGCUGGAUUUGGAGAUUUUAGGUUUUCUUUAUGGUUGUUAGUUUUUCUUUUUUAUAAAGUUUAUAGGGGAUUUAAAAAGAGGGGUUAAGCUUUCUUUUUGCAGAUAUUAAGUCUUUGUAUUUACUUAAAGUUAUUUAUUUUUUUGUGUUAAGGUUUAAGUGGGGUUAGUGGCAUUUAAGUCCUGAUUGGGGUUAAAUUUCUUUUUAUAGCGUUAAAGCGUUAGCGUUUAAGUUGUUUAAAAGUUUUUCUUUAUGUUUAAGAUUCUCUUUUUAGUUUUUUCUUAGGUAAUUCUGUUAAGAUAAGUAAUUUUAUUCUAAGUACUUUAAUUUAAAGUUAAAAAUUAAGUUAUUUUGAGGAAUUAGGCAAAAUAAACUUCGCCUGUUUACUAAAAACAUCGUUUUUUGCUUAAAAGUUUUGUGGUAUAAGAAAUCGGUACUGCCCAGUGCGUUAUAGGUUGUUUCUUCUAUAGGUUAACGGCGGCGGUAUUUUAACUGUCCUAAGGUAGCGUAAUCAUUUGGUUUUUAAUUGGAAUCUGGUAUGAAUGGGUUGACGAGGGUUUUUCUGUCUUAAUUGGCUGUAGUGAAUUUAAUUUUAGGGUUAAAAAUCCUUUUUGUUUUUUAGGGACGAUAAGACCCCGAUGAGUUUAUUCUUUUUUUUGGUUGUUUUCUUUAAAAUUGAUUUGGUUGGGGUAACUUGUAGGUUAGUACAGUUGUUUCUUUAUAAUUUAUGUUUAUUUAUUAAUUUAAAUAUGUUUUUAUAGUUUCUUGAAAGUUGUUUUUAAAGUAAAGUAUUUUUAGGUUUGUUCUUAGUUUAGAUAAGGUUUCUGGUUUUGAUCUAGGUUAAUUCUUAGUUAAUGAAAAAAUUACCACGGGGGUAACAGCGUGGUUUUCUUGGAGAGUGCAUAUUGAAGAGAUAGUUCGCGACCUCGAUGUAGAAUCAUUCUUUCCUGGUGGGGCAGUAAGUACCAAGGGUGGGUUUGUUCAACCUUUAAAAGAAUACGUGAUUUGUGUUUAGACCGUGGUAACACAGGUCAGGUUCUAUCUUAAAUUUUCUUCUUUUCUUGUACGAGAGGACUGGAAAGUUUGAAUUUCUUGUUGGUUUUAAGUUUAGUUUUAUAAGA
rnacentral:rRNA from 1 species